rnacentral:rRNA from 1 species
AGCGAACGCUGGCGGCAGGCCUAACACAUGCAAGUCGAACGAACCUUUCGGGGUUAGUGGCGGACGGGUGAGUAACACGUGGGAACGUGCCUUUAGGUUCGGAAUACUUCAGGGAAACUUGUGCUAAUACCGCAUGUGCCCUUCGGGGGAAAGAGUUGUCGCUUUUUGAUGGGCCGGGGUCUGAUUCGCUAGUUGGUUAUGGGCAUGGCUCACCUCGGCGACGAUCAGUGGCUGGUGUGAGAGGAUGCUCAGUCAGAUUGGGACUGUGACACGGCCCAAACUCCGACGGAGAGGAGCAGUGGGUAAUCUUGCGCAAGGGGGGAUAGCCUGACGAAGCCAUGCCGCGUGAAUGAUGAAGGGCUUAGGAUUGUAAAAUUCUUUCACCGGGGACGAUAAUGACGGUACCCGGAGAAGAAGCCCCGGCUAACUUCGUG